rnacentral:rRNA from 1 species
CAGUAGCCGCGGGAAUACGUAGGUGGCGAGCGUUGUCCGGAAUCAUUGGGCGUAAAGGGAGCGCAGGCGGGCAUAUAAGUCUUUCUUAAAAGUUCGGGGCUCAACCCCGUGAUGGGAAAGAAACUAUAUGUCUUGAGUACAGGAGAGGAAAGCGGAAUUCCCAGUGUAGCGGUGAAAUGCGUAGAUAUUGGGAGGAACACCAGUGGCGAAGGCGGCUUUCUGGACUGCAACUGACGCUGAGGCUCGAAAGCCAGGGGAGCGAACGGGAUUAGAUACCCGCGUAGUCCCUGUCUCUUAUACC